rnacentral:rRNA from 1 species
UACGUAGGGGGCUAGCGUUGUCCGGAAUCAUUGGGCGUAAAGCGCGUGUAGGCGGCCCGGUAAGUCCGCUGUGAAAGUCGGGGGCUCAACCCUCGGAUGCCGGUGGAGUACUGUCGGGCUCGAGUACGGAAGAGGCGAGUGGAAUUCCUGGUGUAGCGGUGAAAUGCGCAGAUAUCAGGAGGAACACCAAUUGCGAAGGCAGCUCGCUGGACGUUACUGACGCUGGAGACGCGAAAGCGUGGGAGCAAACAGG